rnacentral:sRNA from 1 species
UCGACUCGAGCGAAGCGAGAGAACGUUGCCGCAGGCAACGGCCCGAAGGGCGAGGAGCGAUAGCGACGAGUUAUCCUUGCCCCACCACCA